rnacentral:tRNA from 1 species
AGAAAGUUAGUUAAAAUAUAACUUAAGAUUGUCAGUCUUACAUUGCUAAUAUAAGUUUAGUACUUUCUA